UUUAUUUUCUUGCUUUUUGCAACCGCGGGACCGCGUUUCUGCGCUUCAGAUUGCGUUUUUCCGACUCCUUUGUUUGAUAUCGUGUCGUAUCGUCGUAUUUAUGUAGUUAUUAGGAACGGCAAGGCCUACGUUGUUGCGUCCUUUACCUGAAUAUCGUGACCGAAUCGAGUGUCGUCGAUUUGAAUCGUGUCUUGCGAACCAUCGUCGAACAAAAGGUGAUGGCUGGUCGUGGUUCAUCAGCGUUUGUUUUGAAACUGAUGGGUACCACAAGGCAUGAAGGAGGUGACUUGCAGCAGCAAGGCACUGCAAGCCUUCGCAGCAACUGGCUAGCCAGUGCUGCUCUGUUCUGAACUGCACUGCGUGUCAUGCGGAGGUUUUGUGCAAGCUCUCUGGGCGGCGACGCUAGCCACGAUUGGCUUCGUGGAUGCACAGAAAUACUCAAGGCGCUUGACGUCUGUGGCUCAUCUGUAUUGUUUUUCCCGGUACCACGGCAUGAAGGAGCUGGCCUCCCUCCCUUCCAUCAGCUGCGAGAUACUACAAGCACUGGGCUACAGCUGCAGCUAGCCCAUGGGUACCGUUCUGCGUCCUGUACUGCAUCUAGUUCGAAAGGCCAUGUGAAAGGCAGGUACCGGGGACCAUGACAUCAGUGAGCUGGCUUUCACCUUGUCCAAGGCAGCAGCGGAACACUACGGGCGGGACCCUGGAUCACUGCACCAUGGAUGCCGUCCUGUACCCUGCACGGCACUGCGUGUGGCUUAAGUGGCCAAGCAGAGGGUCAUUGCAUGACUUUUAUGAGGCGCCGCUAGCCAUUGUUUCAAACCACCCUGAAUCGUGGAUCAAGCCUUGCAAGAUGGAAGUUCUCUUUAGGCCCAGCGCCUCUUGAUGGGUCAAGUCUUGUACCCCAUUCCCUCGUGUCUUUCAUAUAAGUAAAUUGUUGGUAUUUCUUUUAUGACAGUGCACGUUACCUGCGGACCACGUUUUACAGUCGAAACGCAGUGUACCGAAACUUCUUUUAUAUAGACCCCUUUCUUUGCAAGCGCCACCAGGCGGUGCUUCAGUUUGUUUGAUGUCUCAGCAAACUUCUGAUUCAUAACAAGAAUGAACAAAAUCCACUUUGACACUGCUGCCUAAAAUGUCGAUAAAACGUGUAACCACCAAUUCUCCAGGUGAGCGCCAAAAGAAUGAAGAAACGGCAGAUAUGUUAAAAUGUUUCAAAUAUUUUGUACACCAACUUGCCUCCUCCAAGACAUUAAAUUGUACAGGCAAAUGCCCUCAUUAAAUCUCCAACUUUGAUGUAUGUUGGAGAUUAUGCUUUCUAGCACUGGUGACAUGAACAAGCUCAACAGGCUUGCAAAGACUGAGCGACCGGAAGUCACUUGGGACACAAGCGGCAGUUCAUGUUUGUAAACAGCAAAAGGGUCUAGAUAAACGGCUGUACGUUGCCGUUGCCACGGCAGCUUACGCAACCGCAAUUUUUACCGAGACGCAUGCGGGGAGCUAUGUACUUCACAUUGUUUGUGCAUGGCUUGUCAUCUAUCUUGUGGUUUUGACACUUGUGGUUUUCUUGUUGAAAACUAGAAGUGUCAAAACUAUGCGAUAGAAGACAAGGUGCGCCGCACAAUGUUUUUCUGUCCACUACUGUUCUGUUAACAGACGGAAAAAAAACCUGACCAACGGAGUCAUAUACAGCUUCACUGUAAAAUUGCAGUAAAAUGCGACGAAAAAACGAAUAGAACGCGAAGGGGAGAAACGAGUGACAAUUUGAAGCCACCUAAUGACCGCUGUGUCACGUGAUUUCAAGAUCGCAGCACCCAUGCGACGGAGGGCGAAAAGGUCUAUAGAAUUUUAGAAAUAAAUUGAAGGGAUAACAUAAAGCCAUUUGCAGGGGGACUGCCGAGCUCGAGCCCAAGCUACUGUUGCAUUGGUAGGAAUUUGGCAUUAGGAAGAUGAUGUGGCUGUAGCUGGCUUCAGUUGCUGCAUUGGCAUAUGCAUCUAUUGACAUUUGGUGACCAUAGCAUGCAGAAUUUAUUGUACAGGAGGAGAGACAGUUGUGACGAGAUCAGGAGCAUGAUUGUACUUGUUUGCAGUGCUUUUCAAUGUGGCUGCAGGACAUGAAAAGGACUGAAUGUGUAUGGCCAAUAUUUUCCAGCACCUAAUAUUUUGACAAGCCUUGCAUGAAAGGAGUUUCUUACAGCAGAGCUGUUAAGGGCUAGUUUCCCCAGAAUCAUGUCCGGUACCAAACAAAUGUCAACACCUGUGGUCGACACAACACUGUUUGCCGCCGUCGCUCAUAGAUCGCGGCAGGCAGCCUUUCCAGCCUUGGCAACCAGAGAACUGGUUGCUGCCAUCGCUGAUAGAUGGCGGCAACAUUUCUUGGGAGGAAGAAGAGCGGGAACGGAACGAGCAGCGAUGUGCGCAGCAGCGCGAAUGGUUCUGCUAUUACCUAAAGUUCCACUGCGUCAAGCGCUUCAGAUUCCUUUACGAAAGAAGAGCAGAUCGCUCGCCUGAAAAGCCACCACCGAAAACAGAAGCUACAGCUCCGCUGCUCUUCCUUCUUCACCAAAGUGGAAAGGCUAAACAUUUUCUUUUUCUUUUUAUCUGGAACAUGGUGCUGAAGUUUCAAACUGCCUCUGAUGUUGCGAGCAAAAAAAGAUGCCACCAGAACAUCUCGGUGCUAAUAGUCGCCGACAAGGUGGGAAACGCAGGGCAUCUCUUAAUGCCCGGCCUCCAGCAAGCACUUGUUGCCUUUUCUCAUGCUUUGUCUGCGCAUGCAUUGUUGAGGCUUGCAAGACGCCAAAGCAUUGCCAAAUGUAGGAGGCUCCUCCCUGCAAUUCUUGUUGUCCUACAUUUGAUCCUCAAGGCACACCCCAGGUUGGUAGAAAAACAUGCGAUAGUCUAUUCAACACCUGUACACGAUUCGGGCAAUAUGCUAGAUAUAGUCCCUAACGGAAUGAGAACGUAUGGGCGUGUCUUGCAAAUGCUCGGGCUCAAAGCAUUGCCGAAGGUAGGAAAUUCGUGCUAAAGUGAGGGCAACUGAAGCUUCACCCUGCCGUCCUCAUCUUGCAAGUUGCUAGUUAUUAAUCCAUUUUAAAUGUGGCAAUGCUACACCAUACAAUAACGGUUUUUACAAAAGUAAUUUGUGGUUCAUCUUAUCAAAAGCUCGUUAUAAAUCAAAAUGAAUAAUAUUAACUUGCUUCCAAGAGAGAACAAAUGGCACUGUGUAUUCAAGCUUACAAAAUCCAAUUUUUACUGAGCAACUUUCUAAAAAAAAUUGUGUUCAAUGGUGCUCUGUUCAAAACUGGAGUAAAAAGACCCAUGUCUGUGUAUAACUAUCUCAAACACUUUCAAACGAACAUACAGAAAGGAAAUGGGGCAGUGAUUGUCUACCCUAGACAUGUCACCCACCUCCUACACACCAACUCAUGUUUAAAAACAAACCAGAGUGCCCCUAACGGACGCCGCGCGGUGGUUGGUAGGCAAGAAGCUCGCCGUCGCCCAUAAUCAAACCAUUGAAUUGCGUUGUUGUCGGCGUCGGUGUGAGACCCCGUGCUCUUUUUCCAUUGGAAUUGUUUAUUCUACGUCCUCCUAACGAUGUCGACUACUUGAGCGGCUUCAGCAAAAUUAAUGAGGCUCGUUGCACCGCAAAACUGCAUAAAUAAUGCGACGUGCGGCGAUUCAUUUCACGUGGACGCCGCAGAAUGAGCGCAAAAGCCCGACUCCCACGAUGAGUCAUCUUGCUAUUUUCAGUCGCGACGUCGCUCGGGCUGUAAAAGCGUGGACCGUAGCUGAGAUGGUGGACGUCAAUAUUGAAAACGGCAAGUAGAAUCGGGCAUUACAAGUCGGUGACGGCCGCUGGUAGCAAUGAUCAAUAUCUUGUAUCUACUUACACUUGGCC